UUGUAUACCCUGUUGCUUUGGCGGGCCCACUGGGAAUCCCCAGUCGCCGAGGGGCACUGUGCCCCUGGGCCCGUGCCCGCCAGAGCGCCCUUGAACCCUAAUGAAGAUGGACUGUCUGAGCAUGAUUGAUAAUAAUCAAAACUUUCAACAAUGGAUCUCUUGGUUCCGGCAUCGAUGAAGAACGCAGCGAAAUGCGAUAAGUAAUGUGAAUUGCAGAAUUCCGUGAAUCAUCGAAUCUUUGAACGCACAUUGCGCCCCCUGGCAUUCCGGGGGGCAUGCCUGUCCGAGCGUCAUUUCUGCCCUCAAGCACGGCUUGUGUGUUGGGUGUGGUCCCCCCUGGGGACCUGCCUGAAAGGCCCCCCGGACGCCCGCCCAUGUCCUCGAGCGUAUGGGGCUUUGUCACCCGCUCGGGAAAGAUCUACGGGUGUUGUUC
rnacentral:misc_RNA from 1 species